ACCGAUAGUGAACCAGUACCGUGAGGGAAAGGCGAAAAGAACCCCUGUGAGGGGAGUGAAAUAGAACCUGAAACCGUGUACGUACAAGCAGUAGGAGCAGGCUUUGUCCUGUGACUGCGUACCUUUUGUAUAAUGGGUCAGCGACUUAUAUUCAGUGGCAAGGUUAACCAUCUAGGGGAGCCGUAGGGAAACCGAGUCUUAACUGGGCGUUCAGUCUCUGGAUAUAGACCCGAAACCAGGUGAUCUAGCCAUGGGCAGGUUGAAGGUUGAGUAACAUCAACUGGAGGACCGAACCGACUAAUGUUGAAAAAUUAGCGGAUGAC
rnacentral:rRNA from 1 species